CCUACGGGUGGCAGCAGUCGAGAAUCAUUCACAAUGGGGGAAACCCUGAUGGUGCGACGCCGCGUGGGGGAAUGAAGGUCUUCGGAUUGUAAAUCCCUGUCAUGUGGGAGCAAAUUAAAAAGAUAGUACCACAAGAGGAAGAGACGGCUAACUCGGUGCCAGCAGACGCGGUAAUACAGAGGUCUCAAGCGUUGUUCGGAAUCACUGGGCGUAAAGCGUGCGUAGGCUGUUUCGUAAGUCGUGUGUGAAAGGGGCGGGCUCAACCCGCGGACGGCACAUGAUACUGCGAGACUAGAGUAAUGGAGGGGGAACCGGAAUUCUCGGUGUAGCAGUGAAAUGCGUAGAUAUCGAGAGGAACACUCGUGGCGAAGGCGGGUUCCUGGACAUUAACUGACGCUGAGGCACGAAGGCCAGGGGAGCGAAAGGGAUUAGAUACCCGAGUAGUC
rnacentral:rRNA from 1 species